rnacentral:misc_RNA from 1 species
GGAGCGUGUAAGUGUGUGCGUGUGUGUGUAUGUGUGCAGUGAAGUGCAAAAGAAACACGAUAAAAAAAAAAAACAACACGCCAAGCAGUUGCGCCCGUUUUAGCUGAUAAAGCGUAUAGAAAAAAAGUACAACAACAACAACAACACACAAAGCAGUAGGCACGAAACGAGUGAAAAUAGAAAAUUAAUAAUUAGCUAGAAGAAGCAGCAGCAGCAUUCACACAGGCGAUUUGUAAGUGAUCAGUGCUAAAAAAAAAAAAAGAAAAAAAACGUAAAUGAAAAAUUAAAAUAACAAAUCGUGCAACUUUUCCCAUAAAUAGUGCAAAUCAAAAUUCUCGGUGCAGCGGCCAAAUUUGUAUCGAUCGCACACAGCAACAAAAACACAUACAAAUACAACUACAGCUACAACUACAAAUACAAUAACAAAAGCAACAACAAUAACAAAUCGCACAUCAGAUUUUCAAACUGCAACUGUUGGCGCCUCAAGCGCCGUUAUUUAAUACCGCAAAUCCGUCAAAAUGUCAACAAUGGAGGUGCGCAACAACUCGGCCAUGAUGAAGCGUGCCGAGCAGCUGAAGCGCUGGGAGGAGUCGGACACAAAUCGCGCCGCCCCCACGCCUCGUCGCGAGGACUGUCGCAGCAUCAAGUUUAGCUCCGGCUGCGUUUUUCUCGCCGCCUGCCUCUCCGGCGACAAGGAGGAGGUCGUCCAGCUGCUCAAUCAGGGCGCCGACAUUAACACGGCCAAUGUUGAUGGCCUCACCGCUUUGCAUCAGGCCUGCAUCGAUGACAAACUCGACAUGGUUGAGUUUUUAAUAGAGCACGGCGCCGAUAUCAAUCGGCAAGACAACGAGGGCUGGACGCCGCUGCAUGCAACCGCCUCCUGCGGCUUUGUCAGCAUAGCAUGCUAUCUGGUGGAGCACAACGCCGAUGUGGCUGCCGUGAACAGCGAUGGCGAUCUGGCGCUGGACUUGGCUAUCGAUGUGCAGCACAUGCCCAUGAUUAACUAUAUGGAAAAGGUGGUGCAGGAGCUGAAUAUUGAUGUGGAUCAGGCACGUAGGGCCGAGGAGCAGGCCAUGCUGAAAGAUGCCAAGCGCAGCGAUGCGGCCGAAGUGGAUCAGCCGCAUCCAAAAACUGGUGCAACGGCGUUGCAUGUGGCCGCCGCCAAGGGCUAUACGAAAGUGCUACGUCUAUUGCUGGCCCGUGACUGCAAUGUUGAUAGGCAGGAUAACGAUGGCUGGACACCAUUGCAUGCUGCCGCACACUGGGGCCAAAAGGAGACAGCUGAAAUGCUGGUGGAGGCCCUGGCCGAUAUGGAUAUACCCAAUUAUGCUGGCCAAUCCUGCAUCGAUGUGGCCGAUCGCAAAAUGGUCAAAUUCCUUGAAGAGCUGCGCGCCAAUAAGCGCAACAAACGGCGUCCAUCUAGUCAAAUCAGCAGAAUCUCAGAUGCGAUUGAAAAUCAUGUGGACAAAACACGAAUGAAACUCGUACGCGUCGAAGUGAGAACUGAUGCCGCUAAGGAUGCUGAAAAUGUUAAACCCAAUCAGCAUAUACAUGCUGGCGAGCAUUCUGCCGAGGAGGAGGCGCCCUGGCGACGCAAAACUCUGCGCACGCCCAACGACAGUCCCACUAAGAAUCAAGUUCCUGACAAAGAGCUGAGCGGCAAAAGCGCUAAUGAGAGCGCAAACGAUGUCAUCUUGCGGCGCACGCAAAGCUUUGAGAAUGAUCAAAAAUUCUAUCAAAAGUACAAUGAGCUGCGGGCACGCAUAAAGGCGAACUCAUGUCCCAUACUGCCAGCGACGACGGCAAAUGCUCUGCCCGGCAAUGCAAAUAACAACAAUAACCAAAGUAGCAAUAACAACAAUAAUAACAAUAACAACAACAACAAUAACAAUAAGAGCGCGCUGCUGUUGGGAAAAACUGUGAGCACAACCAGCGUCAGCAGCAGCAGCGGCAGCAGCAGCAACAACUACAACAACACAACAACCACCACAACAACAACAACUACAUUCAACACACACACCAACAACACAACAACAACUGCAACAGCAGCAGCUACUACAGCAAAUCCAAGUCAAAUUUAUAGCGUACAAAGAUCGGCCUCCCUCAAAGAUAACUCAGUAUAUUUCAGGAAACCAAUCGCUCCAGCUACGAUGCUGACAGCAGCGACAACAACGACUACAACAACAACAACGACGCUCAGCUCACCAUCAACAACUGUGCUCACCCCACCUAUACGCAGAUCCUUUGUGCCGCCAGUGCGCGACGAGGAGAGCGAAACGCAGCGCAAGGCGCACGCGAAACGAGUCCGUGAGACGCGUCGCUCCACGCAGGGCGUUACGCUCGAGGAGAUCAAGAGUGCCGAGGAGCUGGUCAAGAAGAAGAACUUGGGCAUGAACAACAACAACAACAAUAACAACAACAACAGCAGCAGCUUCAAGCUGGAGGACAUCACCAGCGGUGGCACCUACCCGCCCAAUCAGAGCACAAUCAUACCCAGCGCACCGGCCGUGAUGGCCGCGGUUAAUUUGGCCAGCACAACGGGCAACCCGCGUCGCAUAAGCAGUGGACCCAAUGCGCUUAACGCUUCCAAUCAAUCGCUCAACUCGGUGGGUCGUCCGGUCUCAGCACCCAGCGAGAGCAGCAAUAACAGCGCAUAUGUGACGCCGCCGGCGCGUAGAUACGAGACAUCCACGCUGGGGACAGCUGCCUCGACAACAGCCACAACAACUGCCACGACAGCCACCAACUCCGCGUCUGCAUCCAGUGCCAACCAUGGAACGGCGACUAGCUCCACGCCCGGCCAUGAUGAUAAGGAUAACGACAAGGAGAACGAUAAUCGUACACAGACUGUUAUUCAGCGACGUCGCAAGCCCAAGCGCAGAUCCACGGGCGUGGUGCAUAUCGAUAUGGAUGAAAUUGAUCCGGAACGCCAACACGAAACGGCCAACAAUGACAAUGAGGAUAAGGAUAAGGAGAGCGGCAGUGAACGCACCUCACGCUCUCGCACCGCGAGCACAGCGACAACGAGCACCGGCAGCGAUUCAAAGAGUUCCAGCAACAACGACAAAGCGGAAAACGGCGAUGGCAUCGACUACAAGGCGCUCUGGGAAGCGGCCAAACUGGAGAACGAUAAGCUCAAGCAAAUGCUCAAGCAGAAGGACGACGAAGCUGUACAGACGCGUGCGACGCUCGAGCGCUUCGCCAAUGCCACCACUAAAAAUUCACUCUCUGAGAUUGAGAAACGUGAAAGAAGAGCUAUGGAACGCAAGCUUUCCGAAUUGGAAGAAGAGCUCAAGCUAUUGCAGAAGCUAAAGACUGAGAACGACCGCCUGCGUGCCGAGAAUCGAGCCCUCACGCGUGUCGUCUCUAAGUUGACCACCUCGGCCCAGAGUCAGCUGGCCAAAAGCAAAUAGGCAACAAUUUACAACAAACAAAAGAAAUAAACAAAAAAAUAAAAAAUAGAAUAUCCUAAAAUAUUGAAAAAACAGCAUAAUCGAAUAUCGUAAUCGUAAUCGUAAUCGCAAACGCAAACCGCUAUCGUAAUCGUAAUCGUAAUCGUUAUCGUUUCUUUAAAUACUCGAGCUGCACACAUAUAUUUACAUACGUACACGCAUACCUAGUUAAAUUCUUAGAUAUCGUACACCCAUCGUCUAGCCUAGAGAUAUUCAGAAACCAUUUUGAUGAACAACUUUAAAGAUUCUUCCACCAUCGAUAUUGUUUAUUAUCAUUAUCAUUAUUAUUAUUAUGAGACAAACAACAACAAGAACAAUUUGCAUUGUUAUAUUGAGCGCAACGUGUAACAAUAAUUAAAUGUACUGUAGUUAAAUUAAGUUUAUAACUUUUGGGGGCAACGAGCACUUAGCAGGCAAAUUUCUAUUUUUGCACCGCUGUACUUUUAGCCCAGAGCAAAAUAAUAUAUGACACAUACACACAUAUUGUAUUGGAGUUAUAUGAAAUAAUACAGAAUAUAACGUUACAAGAUAUAGCACAACAUAUGGCAACUAUAUAUACACACACAUAAGUAUCGUAUACAUACGUUUAAUCAAAAUCAAAAGCUACAUCAAAAAUCGUAAAUCGUAACUCAACGCAACCCAAGGAUUUGCCCAAAUGCUCAACUAUGCUGCCCACGCACUACUUCUACAACAACAACAACAACAAUUGCAGCAAUUCGGUCGUGGCACGAGCACCAAGAUCAUCAUCAGCACAGAUCUAUUAACUUAUUUCUUAUAUGCAGUGAGCUUUACGCAACUUGAUGCCUACAAGUCGGACAAUGACCGCCUGAAGGAGGAGAACGCCGCGUUGAUUAGAGUAAUUAGUAAAUUAAGUAAAUGAAA